CCAUGGAUAUAAAAAACUCAUAUCUGGGUGGUUCUGAUAACUUUCUUCUUUUAGCAGGUGCAUCACUUGUGCAAGUGCCCAGAGCACAGCAGCCAAUGCCAUCUUACGAAUUUCAGCACCAGGUGCUCAAGAACUUCAAUAUACUUCGCCUUGCGAUACUACAACAGGGGGAACUCUUGUCAAGCCUAAUGCCUCUUCAAAACUCCCUCACUGAGGCUCCCAAGCUGCUAGAGAACCCGCUCAGCUCUGUAGAAGAAUUCGAAACGUUUGAAGGGCAGCUAACACCAGACCGUGAGAAGCAGUUAAUCCUGGAGCUUUCACUGCUCGGGGGAAACUCCACAAAAGUUGCAGUUCGCAGGAUAAUGUCGUAUGUUCUCAGCAAUGAACUGGGACGCCAGUACAGUUGGGAAGGAAGAAAGGGUAAAUUACCCUUGCGAG